CCUACGGGUGGCAGCAGUGGGAAUAUUGGACAAUGGGCGAAAGCCUGAUCCAGCCAUGCCGCGUGUGUGAAGAAGGCCUUCGGGUUGUAAAGCACUUUCAGUGGGGAAGAAAGCCUUGGGGCUAAUACCCUCGAGGAAGGACAUCACCCACAGAAGAAGCACCGGCUAACUCCGUGCCAGCAGCCGCGGUAAUACGGAGGGUGCGAGCGUUAAUCGGAAUUACUGGGCGUAAAGCGCGCGUAGGCGGUCUGAUAAGCCGGUUGUGAAAGCCCCGGGCUCAACCUGGGAACGGCAUCCGGAACUGUCAGGCUAGAGUGCAGGAGAGGAAGGUAGAAUUCCCGGUGUAGCGGUGAAAUGCGUAGAGAUCGGGAGGAAUACCAGUGGCGAAGGCGGCCUUCUGGACUGACACUGACGCUGAGGUGCGAAAGCGUGGGUAGCAAACAGGAUUAGAUACCCUUGUAGUC
rnacentral:rRNA from 1 species